UGCAACUCGCCUGCAUGAAGUUGGAAUUGCUAGUAAUCGCGAAUCAGAAUGUCGCGGUGAAUACGUUCCCGGGCCUUGUACACACCGCCCGUCACACCAUGAGAGUCGAUAACACCCGAAGCCUGUGAGCUAACCUUUUAGGAGGCAGCAGUCGAAGGUGGGGUUGAUGAUUGGGGUGAAGUCGUAACAAGGUAGC
rnacentral:rRNA from 1 species